rnacentral:rRNA from 1 species
AUUGAACGCUGGCGGCAGGCCUAACACAUGCAAGUCGAGCGGAUGAAGGGAGCUUGCUCCUGGAUUCAGCGGCGGACGGGUGAGUAAUGCCUAGGAAUCUGCCUGGUAGUGGGGGAUAACGUCCGGAAACGGGCGCUAAUACCGCAUACGUCCUGAGGGAGAAAGUGGGGGAUCUUCGGACCUCACGCUAUCAGAUGAGCCUAGGCCGGAUUAGCUAGUUGGUGGGGUAUAGGCCUACCAAGGCGACGAUCCGUAACUGGUCUGAGAGGAUGAUCAGUCACACUGGAACUGAGACACGGUCCAGACUCCUACGGGAGGCAGCAGUGGGGAAUAUUGGACAAUGGGCGAAAGCCUGAUCCAGCCAUGCCGCGUGUGUGAAGAAGGUCUUCGGAUUGUAAAGCACUUUAAGUUGGGAGGAAGGGCAGUAAGUUAAUACCUUGCUGUUUUGACGUUACCAACAGAAUAAGCACCGGCUAACUUCGUG